GGCACCGUAGCUCAGAUGGACAGAGCGCUCGCCUGAAAAGCGAGAGGUCACCGGUUCGGUUCCGGUCGGUGCCA
rnacentral:tRNA from 1 species